GACCGAGAAAAGGAAUGGUAAGUAAUCCGGCCUUGACGAGACUGAAUUGGAAUCAGAGUCCUUCAAGGAAGAGGAAGAAAUAUAAUAUCUGCAAUGUUAUGAUUUGAUGUCUGAUGGUAACAGGGAGGAGCGUCGGCAUCUGGAACAUUUAAAGCUGGAAAGCGCCAGAGAGACGGAGCUUCUUCAAAAUGGCUCUGCCACUGUGGCUCGGGGUGGUGAUGCUGGCAGGCCGGGGUGUUUGGGCUUCCACAACUUCGAGUCCACCUACAAACACGUCUGAAGCGGCCGCCCUCGUCCCGGUGACUCUCUUCUACGUCCAGUACGCCUUCAACGUGAUGCUUUUGCCGGUUCUGAACACCUCGCACAUCCUGGAGUUCACCGAACAGACGGACGUGAUCGCUUCUGUGUUCAACCAAGUAUACCAAUCUGAGUUUGGAGAGCAGUUUUUGAGCGGAGUCGUGGUCGAUAUCAGGAUCAACUCCAGCUCUGUAGAAAUUGACAUGGAGCUGCUGUUCGCCGAACUCACUCCCAAACCCAUCCCUGUGGGCGAGGACAUUGUGGGGACACUGAAACAAGUUCUGCAGGUGCUGCUGAUGGACAUCAUUUCCAUUAACUUCCUGAGUGCACCACAAAUCACAUCUAAUGUGGAGUUCAUCACCAAUGAAACUUUUCAUCCUGAUCUGAAGAACUCCAGUUCAGCUGCUUUCAAGACCAGAUCGUCCCUCAUUAAGAAGGAGCUCGAACCAUUCUUCAUGGCCGACUUCUCUCCAGGCUUCAUCUGUUUGUCUGUACGGAAUUUGAGGUAAACGUCUCGCGUUCCACGA
rnacentral:lncRNA from 1 species